AUGGUCCAAGUAAUGAAGGUUGUGUAUGGUGAUGCUCAGUACAAUGCGAGCAAGCAGCCCAAAUGGGAGCUUUUUGCAAAGAAACCAACGUUUGUGAAGGUUCCACUUCAAGGGGCGAAUGAAUGUGGCCAUUAUACUCUGAAGUAUGCGGGAUCCUAUGAUGGUGAAAAGAUCGUUGGGAACAUUCGAGAUAAUGAUCCUCGUAUUGUUGAUCGGAAUGCUGAGGAUCUGUAUAGAGUUGUGUUCAACCGGAAUAACCAGCUUCUGGUGAUGGAGCUUCCCAAGGAGGUUCAGGCUUUGGCUCCUGGUGCAUAG
rnacentral:rRNA from 1 species